GCCAACAGCGAUAGUGUGUUGAAUACACUUAAACCAGUUCCUAGCGGAUCACUGAAGUUAAGCAACGUUUGUGUGUGGUUGGUAUCUGGACGGGCGACCUUCUGGGACAACACGUAUUCCGGGGU
rnacentral:rRNA from 1 species